rnacentral:misc_RNA from 1 species
GAUGAAGAACGUAGCGAAAUGCGAUAAGUAAUGCGAAUUGCAGAAUUCCAGUGAGUCAUCGAAUCUUUGAACGCACAUUGCGCCCCCUGGUAUUCCGGGGGGCAUGCCUGUCCGAGCGUCAUUACAACCCUCAAGCUCAGCUUGGUGUUGGGCCCCGCCGCCCCGGCGGGCCCUAAAGUCAGUGGCGGUGCCGUCCGGCUCCGAGCGUAGUAAUUCUUCUCGCUCUGGAGGUCCGGUCGUGUGCUCGCCAGCAACCCCCAAUUUUUUUCAGGUUGACCUCGGAUCAGGUAGGGAUACCCGCUGAACUUAAGCAUAUCAAUAAGCGGAGGA